GAUGGUUAUAGAUUUUUGAUUUACUUUAUCUUCUGGUUCAAAUAUGAUGCCCAGUGAUGGGAGAAUUGAAAACCUAAACAGUGGUAAGCGUGGUUGAUUUUUCAUUAGCCCGUACUUACCACAAGCACCACCUCUCUCUCUCACUACAACAAACAACAACCAAGCCUUAUCCCACUAUACGUGGGAUUGGCUGGAUGAAUCAUUGAACGCCAUUACGCUGGGUUUUGUGCCAAGUCUUCCGUUAUCUCUGUCUCUCAUACAUAUAAAUAUAUACAUACAUUCACACAUACAUACGUUGGUGGUGCAUGGUGGAGUACGAAGGCUUUUGAGGAACGCCACUAGCCGUGAACUGUAUAUGACUCGUUCAAAGGUGUGAGAUCUGAGGGCACGAACCUUUGAAGUAGUGAUGCUUGUCAAGUUAUUUUUCAAGGUUAGAGCACGAGCCUUUGGUGUAGUAAUGUUGUGCUAAUGAUGAGUUAUACUCUGUAUCUAGCCUUUCUUUUUCUUGAAUUAUUUUGGAUCAUUACCAUGUUCUCUGAUAUAGUUUUUUUGCUGCUUCUGAAAGGUUUAUUUGCCUAAUGAUGGAAAACUCAUUUAUGGAGCGGUUCUGUGGAUUGUUAUUAGGAGCCUUUUCUAUCAUUUUCCUAUACUAGUCGCCGUCAUCAUCAACACCACCAUUCUUCUCUCUCUCUCUCUCUCUCUCUCUCUUCUCUCUCUCUUCUCUCUCCCUCUCUGGCUUGUAUGGUUGAAGAUGUGAAGAGGUUCAUAGUGAUAAUCCACAGUUAACUAGCAAUGACCAGAUAUAGCUAUGAGAUCUGAAGGCUCUUCAGUUUUUUGCCUUUUUUUAUUUAAGAUAUGCUUGUUGAAUUUUAAAUUAUUUUUGUUCCCUUAGUUAUUUAUAUAGGUCAUUGCAGCAUUGUAGACAUUAUUUUAGUUUAACUGGAGCACUUUUGGCAUUGCAGUAUUUGAUUACUAUAAAUGUACUGUUACUUUUGUAUUGAUUUCAAAUUUUCUGUUAAUAGAAAACCAAAGAGCACUUUCGGCAUUGCAGUAUUUUUGUAUAUAAUGCGAGCUCCCUUCAGACUCAAACCUGCUUGUACAUUGUUACAUAUAAAGCUAAUAAACUGUCGUUUGGAAAAAAAUUCACUCUUUCAUUGUUACUGAGUGCUUUUAUUUCCUACAAAGCUAUUAUUGUAGAUUGUUUUUGUUGAAAGAUGGUUAUACAUUUUGAUUAACUUUAUCUUCUGGUUCAAAUAUGAUGCCCAGUGAUGGAAAGUUGAAAACCUAAAUAGUGGUAAGGGUGGUUGAUUCUUCAUUAUCCCGUACUAACCACAAGCACCACCUCUCUCUCUCUCUCUCUCUCUCUCUCUCUCUCUCUAAUAUAUAUACAUACAUACAUACACACACAUACGUUGGUGCUGCAUUGUGGAGUAUGAAGGCUUUUGAGGAACGCCAUUGCCCAUGAACUGGAAAUGACUUAUUGCUAUG
rnacentral:lncRNA from 1 species